rnacentral:rRNA from 1 species
UUAGAGUUUGAUCCUGGCUCAGGAUGAACGCUAGCGGCAGGCUUAACACAUGCAAGUCGAGGGGCAGCGAGAUCAGUGCUUGCACUGAUUGUCGGCGACCGGCGCACGGGUGCGUAACGCGUAUGCAACCUACCCAUUACAGGGGGAUAACACUGAGAAAUCGGUACUAAUACCCCAUAACAUCCAGGGAGGCAUCUUCUUGGGUUGAAAACUCCGGUGGUAAUGGAUGGGCAUGCGUUGUAUUAGUUAGUUGGUGGGGUAACGGCUCACCAAGACAACGAUACAUAGGGGGACUGAGAGGUUAACCCCCCACAUUGGUACUGAGACACGGACCAAACUCCUACGGGAGGCAGCAGUGAGGAAUAUUGGUCAAUGGACGCAAGUCUGAACCAGCCAUGCCGCGUGCAGGAAGACGGCUCUAUGAGUUGUAAACUGCUUUUGUACGAGGGUAAACGCAGAUACGCGUAUCUGUCUGAAAGUAUCGUACGAAUAAGGAUCGGCUAACUCCGUGCCAGCAGCCGCGGUAAUACGGAGGAUUCAAGCGUUAUCCGGAUUUAUUGGGUUUAAAGGGUGCGUAGGCGGUCGGAUAAGUUAGAGGUGAAAUCCCGGGGCUCAACUUCGGAAUUGCCUCUGAUACUGUUCGGCUAGAGAGUAGUUGCGGUAGGCGGAAUGUAUGGUGUAGCGGUGAAAUGCUUAGAGAUCAUACAGAACACCGAUUGCGAAGGCAGCUUACCAAGCUACUUCUGACGUUGAGGCACGAAAGCGUGGGGAGCAAACAGGAUUAGAUACCCUGGUAGUCCACGCAGUAAACGAUGAUAACUCGUUGUCGGCGAUACAGUG